GCGAAGUGAGGCGCGGCGGGUGGGGAAAUAGGUAGGGGGCUGGGGUUGUCGCGAAUCAUUGGGCGUAAAGGGCGUGUAGGCGGCCCGGUAAGUCCGCUGGGAAAGUCCAGGGCUCAACCCUGGGAUGCCGGUGGAUACUGUCGGGCUCGAGUCCGGAAGAGGCGAGUGGAAUUCCUGGUGUAGCGGUGAAAUGCGCAGAUAUCAGGAGGAACACCAAUGGCGAAGGCAGCUCGCUGGGACGUGACUGACGCUGAGACGCGAAAGCGUGGGGAGCAAACAGGAUUAGAUACCCGUGUAGUC
rnacentral:rRNA from 1 species